GAAUUUUGCGCAAUGGGGGAAACCCUGACGCAGCGACGCCGCGUGGGCGAUGAAGGUCCUCGGACCGUAACGCCCUGUCGAGAGGGACGAACCGUGUGAGCUCUAACAUAGCUCAUGCCUGACGGUACCUCUGGAGGAAGCCCCGGCCAACUCCGUGCCAGCAGCCGCGGUAAUACAGGGGGGGCAAGCGUUAUUCGGAAUUAUUGGGCGUAAAGGGCGUGUAGGCGGCCUAGUAUGUCUUCUGUGAAAGCCCUCGGCUCAACCGAGGAACUGCAGGAGAAACUGCAAGGCUCGAGUCCGGGAGAGGAAAGCGGAAUUCCCAGUGUAGCGGUGAAAUGCGUAGAUAUUGGGAGGAACACCAGUGGCGAAGGCGGCUUUCUGGACCGGUACUGACGCUGAGACGCGAAAGCCAGGGGAGCAAACGGG
rnacentral:rRNA from 1 species